GACGAACGCUGGCGGCGUGCUUAACACAUGCAAGUCGAACGAUGAAGCCGGAGCUUGCUCUGGUGAAUUAGUGGCGAACGGGUGAGUAACACGUGAGUAACCUGCCCUUGACUCUGGGAUAACUGCUAGAAAUGGUAGCUAAUACCGGAUACGACCCUCGGCGGCAUCGCCAGGGGGUGGGAAGAAUUUCGGUCAAGGAUGGACUCGCGGCCUAUCAGCUAGUUGGUGAGGUAACGGCUCACCAAGGCGACGACGGGUAGCCGGCCUGAGAGGGUGACCGGCCACACUGGGACUGAGACACGGCCCAGACUCCUACGGGAGGCAGCAGUGGGGAAUAUUGCACAAUGGGCGCAAGCCUGAUGCAGCGACGCCGCGUGAGGGAUGACGGCCUUCGGGUUGUAAACCUCUUUCAGUAGGGACGAAGCGCAAGUGACGGUACCUACAGAAGAAGGACCGGCCAACUACGUGCCAGCCGCCGCCGUAA
rnacentral:rRNA from 1 species